UGGGGAAUUUUGGACAAUGGGCGAAAGCCUGAUCCAGCAAUGCCGCGUGUGUGAAGAAGGCCUUCGGGUUGUAAAGCACUUUUGUCCGGAAAGAAAUGGCUCUGGUUAAUACCUGGGGUCGAUGACGGUACCGGAAGAAUAAGGACCGGCUAACUACGUGCCAGCAGCCGCGGUAAUACGUAGGGUCCAAGCGUUAAUCGGAAUUACUGGGCGUAAAGCGUGCGCAGGCGGUUGUGCAAGACCGAUGUGAAAUCCCCGAGCUUAACUUGGGAAUUGCAUUGGUGACUGCACGGCUAGAGUGUGUCAGAGGGGGGUAGAAUUCCACGUGUAGCAGUGAAAUGCGUAGAGAUGUGGAGGAAUACCGAUGGCGAAGGCAGCCCCCUGGGAUAACACUGACGCUCAUGCACGAAAGCGUGGGGAGCAAACAGGAUUAGAUACCCUGGUAGUCCACGCCCUAAACGAUGUCAACUAGUUGUUGGGGAUUCAUUUCCUUAGUAACGUAGCUAACGCGUGAAGUUG
rnacentral:rRNA from 1 species